rnacentral:rRNA from 1 species
CAAGGAAUUUUCCCCAAUGGGCUCACGCCUGAGGGAGCAACGCCGCGUGGGGGAUGACGGCCUUCGGGUUGUAAACUCCUUUUGGGUGGGAAGAUCAUGACGGUACCAUCCGAAUAAGCCCCGGCUAACUCCGUGCCAGCAGCCGCGGUAAGACGGAGGGGGCAAGCGUUGUCCGGACUCACUGGGCGUAAAGCGCACGUAGGCGGUUCGGUGCGUCGCUGCUGAAAGCGCCAGGCUUAACCUGGCGAGGCGUGGCGAUACGACCGCACUAGAGGCAGGCAGAGGGUGGCGGAAUUCCGGGUGUAGUGGUGAAAUGCGUAGAGAUCCGGAGGAACGCCUGUGGCGCAAGCGGCCACCUGGGCCUGUCCUGACGCUGAGGUGCGAAAGCGUGGGGAGCGAACC